rnacentral:rRNA from 1 species
UACGAACGCUGGCGGCGUGCUUAACACAUGCAAGUCGAACGGAAAGGCCCUGCUUUUGUGGGGUGCUCGAGUGGCGAACGGGUGAGUAACACGUGAGUAACCUGCCCUUGACUUUGGGAUAACUUCAGGAAACUGGGGCUAAUACCGGAUAGGAGCUCCUGCUGCAUGGUGGGGGUUGGAAAGUUUCGGCGGUUGGGGAUGGACUCGCGGCUUAUCAGCUUGUUGGUGGGGUAGUGGCUUACCAAGGCUUUGACGGGUAGCCGGCCUGAGAGGGUGACCGGCCACAUUGGGACUGAGAUACGGCCCGGACUCCUACGGGAGGCAGCAGUGGGGAAUAUUGCACAAUGGGCGGAAGCCUGAUGCAGCAACGCCGCGUGCGGGAUGACGGCCUUCGGGUUGUAAACCGCUUUCGCCUGUGACGAAGCGUGAGUGACGGUAAUGGGUAAAGAAGCACCGGCUAACUACGUG